rnacentral:lncRNA from 1 species
GGGCACUGGGUCCCCUUCUCUGCUUCGUGCCAUGUGGGGACAUGGGAAGGCAUCGUCUGCAAGCCAGGAAGCCGGCCCUCACAGAACCGAGUCUGCCCGCUCCUUGAUCUUGACCUCUGGCUUCCAGAACUGUGAGAAAUAAAUUUUUGUUGUUUAAGGCCCCAAGUCAAAGUUACUCUGUUGUAGUUGCCCAAGUGAGACAGAACCUCAUGCUACUCAGACAAGUGGAGAGAGUCGGCCCCCACCCCACGGGAGCGAGACAGCGAGAGCCUCAUUCUGAGAGGGCGUUGGGAGGAGGGCAGGAAGGUGCCCAGGUGAGUCAAUUUCCCGGCUUGGACACGCCCCUCUUCCCUGGUCUCACACAGGAAGGUGCCCAGGUGAGUCCAGUUCCCGGCUCGGACACGCCCCUCUUCCCUGGUCUCUCGCGGGAAGGUGCCCAGGUGAGUCCAGUUCCCGGCUCGGACACGCCCCUCUUCCCUGGUCUCUCUCGGGAAGGUGCCCAGGUGAGUCCAGUUCCCGGCUCGGACACGCCCCUCUUUCCUGGUCUCUCUCGGGAAGUUGCCCAGGUGAGUCCAGUUCCCGGCUCGGACACGCCCCUCUUCCCUGGUCUCGCGCGGGAAGUUGCCCAGGUGAGUCCAGUUCCCGGCUCGGGCACGCCCCUCUUCCCUGGUCUCUCUCGGGAAGUUGCCCAGGUGAGUUCAGUUCCCGGCUCGGACACGCCCCUCUUCCCUGGUCUGGCGCAGGAAGUUGCCCAGGUGAGUCCAGUUCCCGGCUCGGACACGCCCCUCUUCCCUGGUCUCUCACAGAUCCUCCCACUGGUUGAAUUGAAGAGAGCAUGAUGUGUCCAUCCUUGCGGCUCGGACGAGCUGGCCCCAUCCUGGAGACCAGCCUUUUGCUUAAUCACACUUCCUGGCAUCCCACCUACAGAGAUGAAAUCCAUUUAGGUCAAUUGCUC